rnacentral:misc_RNA from 1 species
GUGAAUCAUCGAAUCUUUGAACGCACAUUGCACUCUCUGCGGAGAGGAUGCCCGUUUGAGGGUCAGCCUCAAAAAAAUUCACAUAGAUGCUGUUACGCGGUAACUUUCGGCGGAAAUUGGUCCAUCUUAAACCUUUGGGUUUAGGCGGCUUAAAAUGUUCUUUACGAUUUUAAGUACGUUCCUAAGAUUUUAUUUUCUUAUACUUUUAAGGUAUCGAUCUUUAUUAGUCGUCGCUGUUU